AUUAACAUCGUACUUAAGGGCCAUAUGGUCACUUGCAGAGUGUCUUACCCUGCAAUUGGUAUUAUAUGCAAGUCUUUUGAUCAUGGUAAUUAUGCUCAAUACGUAGCUAGGCUAUUAAUUCUAGUGUUUAGGGUCAAUGGCUCGAUUUUUUAAACAGGCAGCAGCUAAUGAUCUAGGAUUAUAUUACUAGAAACAGUGGAUCGCGCGAAUUUGAAUAUUCAAGAGACAAUGAGAAUUUGAGCUGCAUCUAUAUGCUGUCAUUGGCUGGCUAAUGGGAUCUUUAUUAGUCUAAUGGGAUAUUUAUUCUCUAUUAUUGGGCUCUUCCUAUGUCAUUAGUUUGUCAUGAUCAAUACAUCUUGCGCCACCCCUUAACCCCCCCCCCCCCCCCCCCCCACCAAAAAAAAAACCCAACCCAAAAAAAAACCUGAGGGUUACAAUUUUCCACAAUAAUCUGUCAGAAAGAAGAAUAUAAACUGUAUUUUUUCCUAAUUCGUCAAGAGUAAAAGAUUAGUAUCUGAAUCAUGCAGUUUGGUGGAAUGAGAAUAUUAUGCUGAUGCUUUACGUACUGCAUUUGUGUAGAAAAUAAUGCUAGCCAUUGGAUUUGUAUGGCAAAUACAAUUGUAUUUGCAAAUCUAGUUGUGAAAUGCCUUCAACUAUUCUACUAGUUAUUAUUAAGUUUCCCACCAUUAUCAUGCAACCCUAGAUCUCCAUCAAGCUUAUGGGGCACAAUGCAUCAUCAUUAAUUGGAAUUUUAAAUGCUUUUUGUCUACUGAUAUAUUUGCUUGUGGCAUAAUUCUAUACAUGCUACAUAGAUUGCACUAAAUUGCACUAAAACAACCAAAGGGAUCAAGCUGCCU
rnacentral:lncRNA from 1 species